AUAUAUAUAUAUGCAUGCCCUGGACCAUGUACAGUUGAAAAACAUGGGUUUGAACUCCACAGGUCCACUUACAAGCAGAUUUUCUUCCAUCUCUGCCACUCCUGAGAUAGCAAGACCAACCCCUCCUCUUCCUCCUCAACCUACUCAAUGUGAAGAUGAUGAGGAUGAAGGCCUUUAUGAUGAUCCACUUCCACUUAAUGAAUAUGAAAAUCAAGAGGCUGGGCCUUGAAGCAUCUCAGCAAGCAUGACGUCCUCUACACCAUACCCUCUGGCCUGGGGUUCAGCAGUCUUCACCAUUCCCAUUCCCUGAACCCCUCAAAAUCAGGAAUACAGGUUACAGUGAAGACGGCUGUCUGUGAACCAGGGAGUGCACCCUCAGCAGACACCCAAUCUGCUGGCACCAUGCUCUUGGACUCCCCAG